UGGGGGUGAUAAGAGCAAAGUAUUCUCACAAAAAAACCAAGCCCUGAAGGUCAUCCCUUGCCUCUUCUUUCUUCAUUCUUUAGAUACUCGCCAUCUAGGAGGAAUCUGCUGUAUUUUAGGGAUUGUACUUGGAUCCCAAGGAGGGAGCUGGAAGAAUGCAGAGGUCAAGGCUGCUGUAGAAGCUUACUGACCGAAUUAGGAUUUUUUUCGCUGUCACAGAGGUGCGGUGAUUAUGCCCACUUUACCAAUGAGGAAACUGAAGAACAAACCCAACAAGUCAUCCCCGGAGAACAUGGUGACAUCUGGCUGAACUGAGAUUAGGGUUCCUGCUCUUUGACCUCAUAGCCCAUGCCUUUCACGGCUGUGGAAUUUUGCCUCCUUCCAGCAGCUGGCUACCCUAGAACAAGGACCACACGGUCAGGCAGCACAUGGUGGAAGGAAUAGGCUAGAUGCCUGGGGAUCAUUUUGGUCGAGGCUGCCUGUUUUUACAGAAGAGUACUCAGAGCAUAACCUCGGGGCACGGGUGAUGCAGGGCUGGAAAGUCCCCGUGGAAAGGAGCCUGGCUUGUCUGGAGAUGGUCUCCUGCUGUGGGUGGUCUGCACACUGAGCAAGAUUUAAGUAUGAAUCAGACUGUGCUAAUGGAGCAAAGACCACAAGAAGAGGCAGAUCCUUCCAGGGUGGGAGCCUUACAGAUGCCUGGGGUCAUUUUGGUUGAGGCUGCCUGUUUUUACAGAAGGGUACUCAGGUGAGUGUGUAAGGGGUAUGUGCAUGUGCACGCACACUUUUGAUUGUGUCUGUGUGUCAAGAGCACACCUCCCGGGGCUGGGGAUUUAGCUCAGCGGCAUAAGCACCUGCCUUGCAAGCAGGCGGUCGUGAGUUCGAUCCCUGGUACCGAUAAAAAUGAAAAAGACAAAAAAAAAUAUCAAAAAAAAAAAAAAAAAAAAAAAAAGAGCACACCUCCCUUGGGCGUCUUCACACAGAGGAGGGUAUUAGAGUGCUGGACCAUGGUCACAAGGCCUGGACUUCCCGUUGCCUCGCUCAGCCUCUGCAAGGCUGGGUCUCAAUCCCUUGGCAUGGUUUUUCUGAGUCUCUGCUUCCCUUUCUGUGGCAUCCAACCUGUCACACAGGAACUGUGGGGGCCAUUUCGGGUGUUCAAGAGCAGAAAGCUUUCUGUGAAACCAAGGCACCUUAAGCACAAGGAAGAUACCUGGUCACACACAUUGGGGUCCCUUUCCACUUGUGGAACCAUUGGCAGACAGCACUGACAGUGGGAAAGGUUUGCUUUCACAGCUUUUGAGAACCAGGGUGGCCCUUCCAGGUGGGAACACACUAAAUUCUAAAGGCCCAAUGACUAAGACUCUCAACUUCUUCUAGAGCCAAUGUAAAUGAGUAGGGCGAUGUGACUGAAAGACAGGUGUAAGAAAACUGUGACUUAAACUUGUUGGGACUAUAACACAAUAAUGCUAGGCUGUCAAACAUUAAAGAGCAAUAAGAGUAAACCAAGAGAAAGAGCCCUAACCACAGCUGAAGAAUCCUAGGUGCUUUCUGAAGACGAGGCUAUAUUUUGGUCACAGUCAUAUCUCUGUGUACCUGGCCCAUGCUAAUAAACCACUUAACUGUAUGUACUUGGUUUUUUAAUGCGUGUACUGUUGACACAUUAACGAUAUGAUCACAAUUUAUAAUGUAUUUCCUUUGGUAAUAGACUGGACAAAUAUUAACUUUCUAUAUAAAUAGCAUUAUUUUUACAGGAUGCAGCUAUAAGUUAUUUUGAUUUUCUUCAUUGUUUCUUUUCUGUAAUUUUCACAUUGUAACACAUGUUAGUUACAUAAUUAAAAAGCUAACAAUGUGUACAUAUAGAUCCGUGUUUUCAAUACUUCAGUUUGUUUUUGACAUAUUGUAGUAAACUACAAUAAUGUGGAUUUG